rnacentral:lncRNA from 1 species
CCCACUGAAACUAAUUUACAACGAGUUUUAAAUGAUGUGCGUCGCUCCAUCAAUCGUGUCAAUCAUUUGAACAAAAAAAUUUCACACACUUCAAAACCUAUAUCGACUUCAACCCCAGAUACAGGUGAGUAUCUCAUGAGUUAUUCAGUUGGUACUCCGCCAUUUAAGGUCUAUGGUAUUAUUGAUACAGGCAGUGAUUUUGUUUGGAUUCAAUGCAAACCUUGUAAUAUAUGUUACAACCAAACAUCUCCUAUAUUUAAUCCUUCAAAAUCUUCGAGUUACAAAAACAUUAGUUGCUCUUCUAGAACAUGUAAAUCAGUUGAACAAACAACUUGUUCUAAUGAUACAAAUAUUUGUGAAUAUACCCUACAAUAUGGUGAUGGGUCAAAGACAACGGGAGAUGUAAGUUUGGAGACUUUAACAUUAGAUUCUACUACUGGAUCUAGUGUCUCAUUUCCUAAAACUGUUAUCGGAUGUGGACACACAAAUACAGUGUCGUUUAGAGGUCAAAGCUCUGGUGUAGUUGGUCUUGGAAGUGGACGUAAGUCGCUUAUAAAACAAUUAGACUCUUCGAUUGAUGGAAAAUUCUCUUAUUGCUUGAUUCCUUUUUAUGGUGAGUUUAGUCAGUCUAACUCAUCUAGCAAACUCAACUUUGGAGAUGCUGCUAUUGUUUCUGGUGAAGGUGUUGUUUCAACUCCCUUAGUCAAAAUCAAUGGUAUAUUAAAUGACUUGUACUUCGUAACAUUGGAAGCAUUUAGCGUGGGAAACAAAAGAAUAGGUUUUGGUGGAUCCAAAUUUGGAAAAACAAAUGCUACCACAAAAACUAUCACAAUUGACAGUGGUACACCAGUUACUUUUUUGCCACAUCGUUUUUACGUUCAAUUGAGAGCAGCUGUGGCAGAAAAUAUUAAACUAAAACGUGUAGACUUUCCUACUCUUCCAUUAAACCUUUGCUACAAUACCACAUUGGGACAAUUAAAUGUUCCUAAAAUUACUGCACAUUUUAGUGGCGGAGAUGUAAAGUUAGAUUCUAAUAGCAUCUUUAUUCCAAUUGGUAAUGGGGUUAUGUGCUUUGCUUUCCUACCAUCACAAGGGUUUUCACUUUUUGGGAACAUUCUCCAACAUAACUUGUUGAUUGGCUUUGACGUCAACAAAAAUGUUAUUUCUUUUAAGCCUACUGAUUGUACUAAGCAUUGAUUGAAUGUAGACCUGUUUACUUAAUUUAAUAUAUCAAUUAUUAAUAAGAGUUUUCAUUUUGUUUGAAGUCUCUUUAUGAAAGAACUAUCCAUUGUUCAUUGAAUUAUAUACAUUCACAAGAGGUCUAUGAUUUUUAUAAGUUAAUUUUUUUGUUAUAUAUAUUUCUUGAAAAAUUUAGAAAAAUAUUCAUGAAUUAUAGAUUAUUUUGUAUUUCAAAAUAUAUUGAUAUUUUAUUUAAUAUACAUACAAUAAUAAUUCUUUAAUAGCAUAUAAUUAUUUUAUUAUAUUUAAAUUAACCUUAUUGAAAACAAGGAUCAACAAUAUAAAAUUUGAAUAAUAAUUACUUACUAUGUUAUUAGAUAAUGUUUUCGACAUAAUCUGAAAAAUCAAGAACGUUCUCCACAUUUCUGUUAUUUUCAACAAUCAGGAUAAAAUUAGUAUUUAAUGCAAGCAAAACUCUUGUAAAUCGCGAAUGGAUUUCCAGUUCAUAUACUAGGAAUGUACAACUCUCAUAUAGACAAAAGAAUCACUCAAAAGGAUCAAAGGAUAAAAGACACAACUCAAAGCAAAAGUAUCAAAUGAUCAUUCUCCAAAUUUAUAAACAUUUUCCAUCCUGUUACACUUGAUCUUAAACAACAAACAUCUUUUUCUAUAAUGAUUAACAAUUAUCUCUAAAAUGAUCAACAUCAUUCUCCAAGUAUGAUGUCAUCAGUUCAGAAUAAUAUAAACAUUCUUUAGCUUACUGACCAUCAUUUUCAGCCUUGUUACAUCAUUCUCCAGCCUUAUUUCAUCAUUCUUCAGCCUGUUUUGCAUGAUUCAAAAGACGGUCUUAAUCUGAAUCAAUUAAGCACAUCUAUGAUAUGUUUGUAUGCCUAAACAAAGGAUCAUCAUAAUCAAGAAUGAGAAGCUACAGAUCAAACAUCAUUAACACAAAAGCAGAAAUACACAAUGUUCAAAAUAGUAACAUUCAAAGUAUAAAAGUCUUGACUUUGGUCAAGUCUAACACAUGACAACAAGGCACCUUUUUCAACGUUAGUAAUAGUUGUCAUCAAACUUCUUGAAGACUAUAAAAGGAACCCCAAGCUCAAGGAAAAUGCAUAACUUCAAGUGCUAAGAAAAUCCAUCAAUGACAUACACUUACAUACUUGAAAACUUUUCAUUUGCAAAAGAAUCAUAUCUGAAUUCAUUUUCAUAUAUCCAGAUCGUAUUACUGAAUUCUUUUAUCAAAAAUCUAUUUUGAAAUAUGAGUUGAACAUAAUCAAAUUCUACCGAUCUCUUCAAGUCAUUAUUGUAUAAACCCAAAACUAUAAGGGUUGUUUAUAGUUUGAGUAGUUUUUGUAUAAAUCAUUUUAUGGUUAAAAGGUGAAUUGUAAAAUCCUCUCAAGAUUGAUAGGUGACUUGAUUGAAUCCUUUAUGGGUCGAAAGUAAUUGUUUUUACAGAUCAUGGUUGAUCUUAACAAAAACCGUGUAAAACCAAUAACGUUCUCCAUUUGAACACUUAGUGGAAAAUCUCACAGUUGUUAGGGAUGAACGUAGCCCGAGUUGGGUGAACCAGGAUAUAUAUUUGUGUGGUAUCUCUUCCUUAUCUCUAUUUACUUUCAGUCAUUUUAGUUAUUAAGUUAAAUAGAGAAGAUAAAACUGCGAUUUUAACUAACAAAAAACAUUCUUCGUUUUCUAUUUCAGAACCAAGAACGUUCUCCGUUUUCUGUUUUCAUAACCAAAAUCAAUCUUAAGAUUUUAAAGGAUAUUUUCUUAAGAUUUUCACAAGAAAUUUUCAAAAGAUGAAUUGACAAUUCAAACUCUCUUCCUUGUAUAUUGACAUUGCUAUUUCAAUUGUUUCUCUUGUCUUUGCGCGAAUUUUUAUUUUUCAAUUAAUUUGAGAUUUACAUCACCUAUUUUCUUUACUACUUGGCUUAUUUUCUAUGUUGUUUAUUUUCCCUCAUUUUCAUGGACAAAGCAGUAAAGAAAUAUGUGAUUUAAAUCCCAACCUAAGUACACAAGAAGAAGGUGAAACAACGUAGAAAAUAAGGCAAGUAGACACAAAGAAGGUGAAUGAGGGGAGCAAAAAGAUGAAAAGUCGCACACAAUCAGUGUGAAUGAUUUUUUUUGUAAAAGUUUAGAAAACGUAAAAAGAAAUUAAUGAAUGAAAAAUCCUCUCAAUAAUCACUUACUAUAGUUAAUGUAAAUAACUCAAAGUGUUUCAAACAUUUGAAUUAAUCUAGAAUUUGAAAUGUAAUAUUCUCUGAAUGAGAAUUAAAAUCGUAGAAACAAACUUUGUGUCAAUUCAGACACAAACUAGAACUGAUGUAAAUCAAUUUGUUAUUGAUAAGAGCUCUUUCAUCCAGAGUUACAUGAUGAGGUGUAAAAAUAUUUAAAAACUUCAACGAUAGCUUGCCAAAAAGUUGAGAAGGGUGUUAACGGUAACUACUUGGUGAGACAUAAGAAAAAUACUCAAAGUGUGAAGAGACAUAAUAAAUAGUACGUGUAUGCUAUUGUUUAAAUAGUGGAUUAAGUUUUAUACUGACCCAAAUUUCUCAGUUGGGAGAAGACUAGAUGUAUCAAUAGUCUAAUAUGAACUAGUAUAAAAGUGUGUUCUUUUCGUGUCACUACUCUGUUAUUUUAAUCUAAGUUCUUUAUGAUUCAACUUUAUUUUGACUAAAAAUAUUUUAUAAUCAUAAAUUAAAUGAAUUUAUAAAUAACAUAUCUUUUAAUUAAACAACUCAAAUAAUUUUCAGAAAUAACAAAACAUAAUUCAAACAUCAUUUCUUGUAAUUUUCAACACCUUCAUAGAACACUCCUUCACAAAAUGAUACUUUCAAAAUUUAAAUUUAAAAACAUAUAACAUGAACAUUGAAAUUUUGGUAAAUUUAGAUAAAUAUUAUACAAAUUUAUAAAUUAAACUCCUAUUAUUGGUCGGACAUUUUCUUAGACAAAUUUACUCUUAACAAUUGAAUUUUUUUAAAUUUAAACUUAAAUCAACAUCAUAUUUAUAUGGAACUCCUUUUAACAAAACAAUGUUUUCAAAGUUAAAAAUUUUUAAAAUAAAAAAUUGUUUAUAUAAAAUAUUAAAUGGAUGUAAUUUAUCAUUUAUUCUAUAAACAAUACUAUAAUAUCAAGUACUAUUUUUUUAUCCGAAUGUGUAGUCCAGUAGUAAGGAUUGGAAAGAUUUCAUAAGGAAAUCAUCGAUUUUUUUUUUUAUAAUUAAAUAAUAAGAAAUUUGUUUAUUGGAUUAGGUUAAUAAUUAAUAGUUGUUUCAUCAUAGUUUACACUAGGUUAUAUUUUUUUAGGAAUGGUUGUAUAAAUAUAGUAUUGUUACCUCAGUUGAAGAAAAAAUUCCCGUGAUUUUAUUUCAUUGGUUUUCUUAUUAAAUUUUUAAUAAAACAUUUGCUUAUUGUUUUUCCAGUGUGUUUUUCUUGAAUUUUGUAUAAUGCCCUCAAGUAUGUUUUCUGUUUUUUCUUUCUUUCUUUUUUUAUUAAAUAUUUUGUGGUGCAGUUAUUUUAGGGGCUAGGACUUAGGAGUUAGGAGUGACAGUAUCGUUGGGAUAUCUUCCCCUUUUAUCCCGCACCUCACUAACCUUAAAAAAACAAUUACAGUUUUAACAAUUACACACAUUAAAAGGAUUUGUAAUUUCUUAAUAAAUUAUUUAAUAAGUUUACCCUUUGAUAAAAAAUUUAAAUUACAAUUUAUAACAAAAAUAUUUAUAUUAUUAUAUACACACACACACACACACACACACAUAUAUAUAUAUAUAUAUAUAUAUAUAUAUAUAUAUAAUUAAUAGUAAUAUUUAUCAUAUGUUUUAAAAAUUCACUCAAUAAAAGUUAUUAUAAAUUAAUUAUAGAUAAAUUAGUUCAACAAACGGGGAAUAUAUCAUUUAAUUAGAAAAAUUUGAAAAGCUAAUAAAUUUAAUCAAAUAAAUAAAUAAAAAAUUAAAAGAAUGGAGAGGCCAUUAAUGCAUUAAUUAAUUAAUAAUUUCUUUAUGUAAAUACAUUAAAUGUCACAAACUAAAAAUUAUUAUUAUUAAAUAAAUGAGAAAUAUAUUUACUAGUCUAUUAAAUAUUUCAUCAUAAAAAUAUAUUUAAAUUUAUUUCUAUCGAAAAACAUGAAAUAUCAGUAAAAUACAUGUUUUUGAUGAAGACAAAGACCAAAGAAAGUGAUCAAGUUGCAAGCUAAAAAAGAAGUCAUACAUCAAAGACAACUAUGGUCAAAUAUGCUAGAAGUUUUAUAAUGUAAAGGUCCAUGAUGCAAUCUAAUAUUCGUAUAUUUCAAAUGCACAUGAGAACCUCUCAUUUUAGCAUAUGCAUCAAAAGGAUUUUCAAAAAGUAAAAAUAUAUAAAUAAUGUUUGAAAAUAAUAUUUUUGGCAAAAUACANNNNNNNNNNNNNNNNNNNNNNNNNNNNNNNNNNNNNNNNNNNNNNNNNNNNNNNNNNNNNNNNNNNNNNNNNNNNNNNNNNNNNNNCUUCUUUUUGAUCAUGUCAAAAGGGGGAGAAAAUUGGUAUGUUGUUUUGGUAUGUUUUUGUUAAAAACUUUUGUAGGUCUUCAAAAUGUUUAAAACAUGAUGGCAUGAACUCAAGCUCAAAGGGGGAGUAAACAUGUAUUACGGGGGAGAAAGAUUAAAACGAUCAAACACUUUGAAGUCACAACAACAACAAGGUUUUGUCAUUAUCAAAAAGGGGGAGAAUGUAAAAUACAUGUUUUUGAUGAAGACAAAGACCAAGGAAAGUGAUCAAGUUGCAAGCUCAAAAAGAAGUCAAACAUCAAAGACAACUAUGGUCAAAUAUGCUAGAAGUUUUAUAAUGUAAAGGUACAUGAUGCAAUCUAAUAUUCGUAUAUUUCAAAUGCACAUGAGAACUUUUCAUUUUAGCAUAUGCAUCAAAAGGAUUUUCAAAAAGUAAAAAUAUAUAAAUAAUAUUUGAAAAUAAUAUUUUUGACAAAAUACAAUAUUGUAUUCGAAUACAACAUGUUGUAGUCGAAUACAGACAAGCUAAAACUGAACAUCUUCAAACAUCUGUAUUCGAAUACAAGAAUGUGUAUUCGAAUACAAGCUUCAAAAUUCAAAUAAAACUGAACGUUAAAAGGAUGUGUAUUCGACUACACACAUGUGUAUUCGAAUACAAGCUUCAAAAUUCAAAUAAAACUGAACGUUAAAAGGAUGUGUAUUCGACUACACACAUGUGUAUUCGAAUACAAGCUUCAAAAUUCAAAUAAAACUGAACGUUAAAAGGAUGUGUAUUCGACUACACACAAGCUGUAGUCGAAUACACUUGAAAACAAUGCAAUUUUUCAAUUCUGAAAUGGUUCUGGAUCAUUGCAUUUCUUCAUCAAACCUCUUGGAUCAAUGGCCACAAAUAUGAAGAGAUGUUUAUGGAGUAUAAAUACACCAUAACUUCAGAUCAAACAUAACCAAUCCUACAACCAAACCUUGAACAAACUUUCUAAAAUGUUUUGAUUUUUUCAAAGUUUCACUUUUAUAUUUCAAGUACAGAUUUUACAUUUUCAUAUCAUUGAGAAAAGUUCUCUAGUGUACUUGAAAUUAUAUUGGAUUGUUAUCAUUGUACAUCAACUGUUAUAUCAUAUUGGUCUAAGUCAAAAUCAAUAUUGCUAAACCAUUCAAGUGUUGUAAAUUGAGGAAAGUGGUGCUCUUUCUUCAAGUUUUGUAAACUAAGAUAGUGGUGUGCUAUCUUAGGGUGAUUGUUAGGAGUUUGUAACAAAGGUCCUAGGGUGGGACUUGUACUUAUUCUAACAAUAGUGGAAAAUCUCUUGUGGUGUGCAAGAGGACUGGAUGUACACUUGGUCAUAAGGGGAACCAGGAUAAUAUCUUUGUGUUUUUUAUUUUUCUGCCAUUUAUCUUUUCCAUACGCUAUCUUAAAUCAGAAAAAUCAAACACUAAAUCUCUAAAAACAAAAAAAUUUACAAACACUUAAUUCACCCCACUCUUAGGCGUAUCUAUGUACUAACAAUAUCCAUUAGGUGUAAUAUUAAAGCGGUAUUAAAUAAUUUGAAAUUAAAUUAAAAUUAUAGGUAAUAAUAAUUUUUCACAUCAUUAUAUAAGUUUUUUUUACACAUCAUUUAAAUUAAACUUUUAAGUCAUAGCUCUACUGACUAAUAUGGAUAUUGUUAGAUUUGAUGUCAUUUUGAAUUGAAACCUUGUAAUUAUUUAGGUUAAUUAUGAUGAUAUACACUAUAUUUUUUGAGAGAAAAAAAAUUAUUGUCACAUCAUCAUCAAUGUUGAAACACAAACUAAGAGAAUCAAAUAUAAACAUUUUAAAAAAUGACCAGACAAAAGGAGAAAAAUAGAGUGACCAAAAUGCAUUUUAACCUAAAGUUAUUUUUAAGUAAAAAUAUGUAACAUUCAAUUCAAUUCAGUGGUAAAACUUUAAUUUUAUAAAUGUAAUAUAGUUCUUUUUCAAUUAUAUAUAGUCUCAAAUUCAAAUUUACUCGAAUAUAAAUGUAAUAUAGUUCUUUGUGCCAACUUAAUUAAUAAUGGCUCCAUCAUUCAUAAUUUUAUUUUUAAAACAAAUCUAAAUAUAUUUAUAUAUAUAUAUAUAUAUAUAUAUAUAUAACAGUGAACCUAGACCACUACAAAUUAACAAUAAAUAUAAUAUAUAACAAGGAAACAAUUUAGUAUAUUUGUGAUUGAGUAUUUCAUUAAUUAUAAAAUCGAACAAUAUAUAUAUAUAUAUAUAUAUAUAUAUAUAUAUAUAUAUAUAUAUAUAUAUAUAUAUUAUAUUACACUUAACGGUGAACCUAGACCACUAGAAAUUAAUAAUAAAUACAAUAUAAAACAAGGAAACUAUGAAUCAAUUAAAAAAUUCACAUGAUUUAUUUUUUUCUAAUCUAAACCAUCUAAAUAUAGUUAUGUCGUCAAAAUUUAACUAUUUCAUUAUUCUUUUAUAAAACUUCUCUCAUUUGAUAUGCUAUAUAUAUAUAUAUAUAUAUAAUUCAUAAACAUAAAUUGUUAUAUUUAAAUUUAAUGCUGACAUAAAGUAAUUUUAAUCAUAUUCAUAUCUUUUUUUUUUGUCAACAUCAAUUAUUAUAAUAUUUAAUAAUAUAAUUAAAUAUAAUUAAAUGUAUUUAUAGUAUUUAGUUCAAACAAUUUUUUAAUUAAUUUUCUCUCGUAUCUAUUUAUUUACAUUACUUUUUUCUACACAAUUCCAUCAAAUCUCACUCAUCGAGAGUUAUAAAAGCCACUAAAGAGUAUAACUUAUAAUAUCAAACUUUCACUCAAAUAUUUAGUAAGAAUGUCGCAUUUUUCAUUGCAGACUCUUCUUUUCUUUUAUUUUGUUCACUUCAUUGCUGUUUCGCAUGCUCUUAGUAAUGGUUUUAGUGUCGAUCUCAUUCACCGUAACUCUCCAAAAUCUCCACUCUACCACCCCACUGAAACUAAUUUACAACGAGUUUUAAAUGUUGUGCAUCGCUCCAUCAAUCGUGUCAAUCAUUUGAACAAAAAAAUUUCACACGCUUCAAAACCUAUAUCGACUUCAACCCCAGAUACAGGUGAGUAUCUCAUGAGUUAUUCAGUUGGUACUCCGCCAUUUAAGGUCUAUGGUAUUAUUGAUACAGGCAGUGAUUUUGUUUGGAUUCAAUGCAAACCUUGUAAUAUAUGUUACAACCAAACAUCUCCUAUAUUUAAUCCUUUAAAAUCUUCGAGUUACAAAAACAUUAGUUGCUCUUCUAGAACAUGUAAAUCAGUUGAACAAACAACUUGUUCUAAUGAUACAAAUAUUUGUGAAUAUACCAUAAAAUAUGGUGAUGGGUCAAAGACAACGGGAGAUGUAAGUUUGGAGACUUUAACAUUAGAUUCUACUACUGGAUCUAGUGUCUCAUUUCCUAAAACUGUUAUCGGAUGUGGACACACAAAUACAGUGUCAUUUAGAGGUCAAAGCUCUGGUGUAGUUGGUCUUGGAAGUGGACCUAAGUCGCUUAUAAAACAAUUAGACUCUUCGAUUGAUGGAAAAUUCUCUUAUUGCUUGAUUCCUUUUUAUGGUGAGUUUAGUCAGUCUAACUCAUCUAGCAAACUCAACUUUGGAGAUGCUGCUAUUGUUUCUGGUGAAGGCGUUGUUUCAACUCCCUUAGUCAAAAUCAAUGGUGUAGUAAAUGACUUGUACUUCGUAACAUUGGAAGCAUUUAGUGUGGGAAACAAAAGAAUAAGUUUUGGUGGAUCCAAAUUUGCAAAAACAAAUGCUACCACAAAAACUAUCACAAUUGACAGUGGUACACCAUUGACUAUUUUGCCACAUCGUUUUUUCCUUCAAUUGAGAGCAGCUGUGGCAGAAAAUGUUAAACUAAAACGUGUAGACUUUCCUACUAUUCCAUUAAACCUUUGCUACAAUACCACAUUGGGACAAUUAAAUGUUCCUCAAAUUACUGCACAUUUUAGUGGCGGCGAUGUAAAGUUAGAUUCUAAUAGCAUCUUUAUUCCAAUUAGUGAUGGGGUUAUGUGCUUUGCUUUCCUACCAUCACAAGGGUUUGCACUUUUUGGGAACAUUCUCCAACAUAACUUGUUGAUUGGCUUUGACGUCAACAAAAAUGUUGUCUCUUUUAAACCUACUGAUUGUACCAAGCAUUGAUUGAAUGUAGAUCUGUUUACUUAAUUUAAUUAAUAAAAUUUUCAUUUUGUUUGACAUCUCUUUAAGAAACAACUAUCUAUUAUAGAUUGCAUUAUAGAUAUUCACAAGAGGUCUAUGAUUUUUAUAAGUUAAUUUUUUUCUUAUAUAUAUUUUUUGCAAAAUUUAGAAAAAUAUUCAUGAAUUAUAGAUUAUUUUGUAUUUCAAAAUAUAUUGAUAUUUUAUUCAAUAUACAUACAAUAAUAAUUCUUCAAUAGCAUAUAAUGAUUUUUUUUAUAUUUAAAUUAACCUUGUUGAAAACAAUGAUCAACAAUAUAAAAUUUGAAUAAUAAUUACUUACUAUGUUAUUAAAUAACGUUUUCGUAAAAAUACUUACUUCCGUAUAAAAAUGUAUAUCAUAUUUGUACCCAAAAAAAUCAUAUUAAUUAUUAAUUUAUUUAAAUAUUUUUCUAUUUUUUUUGCAUUUGAUAUAUUGAUAAUUGACACUAAAUAUUAUGAGGUUGAUCUUACUACUUAACACUUUAAUGAUAGAUAUAAAUAUUUUAUAUUUAGGAGCUUAAUUUUAUAUUUAAUCCCUUAUUUUAGAUUUCAUCUUUUAUUAAAUUUUGAUUUAACAACGUAAAAAUUUGUUGUGUUCCCAAUGAAAAUUUGACGUGAUCGUUCAUAUUUUAACUUAAUUUUAAAUAUGAUCUCUUACGUUUAUUUUAUGUUUCAUUUUAGUUUUUUAUAUAUUGAAUAUAUUAUACAUAAGCUUAUACAUAUAUUAAUUUAAAAAUAUGUUGAGACUUGUCUAAUGUUUCUAUAAUUUGAUUAACCUAAACACAUAAUCUCUACUCCUUGUCGAGUCAUAAUUAACCAAUUUAUUAAUUUUAAUUCAUCUUUUAAUGACUACCACUGCCACCCGAUUAUCUUCUUCCUUUAUAACAAACUUAUUAAAUCUUUAGAUAUAUGAUUCUUUGAACUUUAUCCACUAUAUUUAUUACUCACAAUCUAGUUUACACAUAUAUUUAACUAUAAAAAAAAAGUGAAAAACUAGAACACUUUAUCUAUUAUUAUUGUUAUUAUUACAAUUAUUUAUUAGAAAAAUAGAUAGAUUAAAUGGUGACACUGAUGUUGCAAAAUAUGAAAUUUUAAAACCUUAACAGAAACGAUCAACAAAUCAUAAUAUUAUAGAGAUCAACUUGUAACUUUUAAAGUACAGGAGAUCAAAUUAAAACCAUAAACAAACAGAAGAGAUUAAAUAUAAAAUUAAGUCAAUAUAAUAAUUGUUACAUCAAAUUAUCAUUUGACCCAUCACAAAUUUUUUCGGUGUUCGGUGAAAACUUCAUAAAAGAGACCAAGUUAACUCAAUGUUAUUAAAGUAAGGAAUCAACUUAAAACUUUUAAAAUGUCCGAGACUAAAAUAAAAUCUAUAUUUGCUGAAAAAUAUAAAUUAGAAAAAGAUUGAAGUUCUAUUGCACAUAAAUGAAAAAAAUAUCCUCUACAUUUUAUAAAACCAUUUGAAAUCAUAUUCGAAAGAAUCAAAAUUCAUUAAAUCGUAUAAUUUUAUAUUUAAUUAAAUCUUAUAAUUUUAUAUUUAAUACGAUACACUACAAAAUAUAUCACCACAAAGGAAAAUGAAUGUAAUUUUUUCUUGGUCAAUUUUUAUAUAUAUAGGAGCAUAUCAAGUGAGAGGGAUUUUUAAUGGGAGAGAUAGAAGAUUAAAUGGUAUCCCUUGGAUUAAAAUGUAUGAUUGGGAUUUAAUUUGUUUUUUAGUGACUCAUGUGACAUUUUUUGUUUAUUGUUGUUGAAUCAAAAUCACGAUGUUUUGAUGUAAACAAAUAAAAGUUAAUUAAAGACUCUAAUUAUGUGCGUUUGAGUGUAAUAAUCCAAAACAUGUACAAAGCAAAUGCAAGAGAAAUAAAUUUAAAGAAAGAGCUAAAAAUGAACAAAACCGAACCAAUAACAUUCUUGUAAAAUCUGAAAAACAAAAAAUGUUCUCCACGUUUCUGUCAUUUUCAACAAACAAGAUAAAAUCAGUUUUUAAUGCAAGGAAAGCUCUUGUAAAUCACGAAUGAAUUUCCAGUUCAUAUACUUGGAAUGUAUAACUCUCAUAUAGACAAAAGAAUCACUCAAAAGGAUCAAAGGAUAAAAGACACAACUCAAAGCAAAAGUGUCAAAUGAUCAUUCUUCAGCAAUGUAACAUCAAUCUCCAGAUUUAUAAACAUUCUCUAGCCUGUUACACUUGAUCUUAAACAACAAACAUUUUUCUCCAGAAUGAUUAACAACUAUAUCCAGAAUGAUCAACAUUAUUCUCCAAGUAUGAUGACAUUAGUCCAGAAGAUAUGAACAUUCUUUAGCUUACUGGCCAUCAUUUUCAGCAUUGUUACAUCAUUCUUCAGCCUGUUUUGCAUGAUUCAAAAGACAAUCUUAAUUUAAAUCAAUUAAGCACAUCGAUGAGAUGUUUGUGUGCAUAAACAAAUGAUCACCACAAUCAAGAAUGAGAAGCUACAAAUCAAACAUUAUUAACACUGAAAUAGAAAUGCAGAAUGUUCAAAAUAGUAACAUUCAAAGUUUAAAAGUCUAGUCUUUGGUCAAGUCUGAUACAUGACAGGAAGGCACCUUUUUCAAAGUCAAUAAUAGCUGUCAUUAACCUCCUUGAAGCCUAUAAAAGGAACCCCAAGCUCAAGGAAAACACAUAACUUCAAGUGCUAAGAAAAUCAUCAAUUACAUACACUUACAUACUUGAAAGCUUCUCAUUUGCAAAAGAGUCAUAUUUGAAUUCAUUUUCAUAUAUCCAGAUCGUAUUACUAAAUUCUUUCAUUAAGAAUCUAUUCUCAAACACGAAUUGAGCAUAAUCGGAUUCUACCAAUCUCUUCAAGUCAUUAUUGUAUAAACUCAAAACUAUAAGGGUUGUUUAUAGUUUGAGUAGUUUUUAUAAAAACCAUUUUAUGGUUAAAAGGUGAAUCAUAAAAUCCUCUCAAGAUUGAUAGGUGACUCGAUUGAAUCCUUUAUGGGUCGAAAGGAAUUGCUGUUAAAAAUCAAGGUUGAUCUUAACAAAAACCGUGUAAAAUCAAUAACGUUCUCCGUUAGAACACUUAGUGGAAAAUCUCACAGUUGUGAGGACUGGACGUAGCCCGAGUUGGGUGAACCAUGAUAUUUUUUUGUGUGGUAUCUCUUCCUUAUCUCUAUUUACUUUCAGUCAAUUUAGUUAUCAAGUCAAAUAGAGAAGUUAAAACCGCGGUUUUAACUAAUCAACAACGUUCUCUAUUUUUUGUUUUCAGAACCAAGAAUGUUCUCUAUUUUCUGUUUCCAAAACCAAGAACGUUCUCCAUUUUCAUAACCAAGAUCAAUCUUAAAAUUUUAAAGGAUAUUUUCUUAAGAUUUUAACAGAAAAUUUUAAAAAGAUGAAUUUACAAUUCAAACCCCCUUCCUUGUAAAUUGACAUUGCUAUUUCAAUUGCUUCUCUCGUCUUUGCCCGACUUUUCAUUUUUCUACUUUCCAGAUUUCACCUUCUUCGUGAAACAACGUAGAAUGAAUUCGCACACAAUCACAAAGAAUGAAUUUUUUGUAAAAGUUUAGAAAACAUAAAAAGAAAUGAAUGAAUGAAAAAUCCUUUCAAUAGAGAGUUACUAUAAUUGAUGUAAAUCACUCAAAUUGUUUCAUACAUUUGAAUUAAUCUAGGAUUUGAAAUGUAAUAUUCUCUCAAUGAGAGUUAAAAUGCUAGAAACAGGCUUAGUGUCAAUUCAGAUACAAACUAGAACUGAUAUAAAUCAAUUCGUUUUGAUAAGAGCUCUUUCAUCCAUAAGAGUUACAUGGUGAGGUGUAAAAAUAUUUAAGAACUUCAACGACAGCUUGCCAAAAAGUUGAGAAGGGUGUUAACGAUAACUACUUGGUGAGACAUAAGAAAAAUACUCAAAGUCUGAAGAGACAUAACAAAUAAUACGUGUAUGCUAUUGUUUAAAUAGUGGAUUAAGUUUUAUAUUGAUCCAAAAUUUCUCUAUUAGUAGAGGACUAGAUGUAUCAAUAGUCUAAUAUGAACUAGAAUAAAAGUUUGUGUUCUUUUCGUGUCACUACUCUGUUAUUUUAAUCUAUGUUCUUUAUGAUUUAACUUUAUUUUGACUAAAACAGUUUUAUAAUCAUAAGUUGAAUGAUUUGAUAAAUAACAUAUCUUUUGAUUAAACAAUUCAAAUAAUUUUCAGAAAUGACAAAACAUAAUUCAAACCUCAUUUCUUGUAAUUUUCAACACCUUCAUAGAGCACUCCUUCACAAAAUUGAUAUUAUUAGGUUUGACGUCAUUUUCGAUUGAAACCUUAUAAUUAUUUAGGUUAAUUAUGAUGAUAUUUAUUAUAUUUUUUUAGACAAAACAAAUUAUUGUCAUACCAUCAAUGUUAAAGCUCAAACUAAGAGAAUCAAAUAUCUAACAUUCAUAAAAAUGAAAUAGGGUGACCAAAAUGCAUUUUAACCUAAACUUAUUUGUAAGUAAAAACAUGUAACAUUCAAUUCAAUGGUAAGACUUUAGUUUUAUAAAUGUUAUAUAGUUCUUUGGGCCAACUUAAUUAAUAAUAGCUCCAUCAUUCCUAUUUUUUUUUUUUAAAUCUAAAAACAUUUAAUAAUAUAUGUAUAUAUAUUAUAUUUACCAGUGAACCUAGACCACUGCAAAUAUUUAGUAUAUUUGUCAUUUGAGUAUUUCAUUAAUUAUAAAAUCAAACAAUUUUAAGUAUAUAUAUUACUUAACGGUGAACCUAGACCACUAGAAAUUAAUAAUAAAUAUAAUAUAAAACAAGGAAACUAUUUAAUAUAUUUGUCAUUGAGUAUUUCAUUAAUUGUAAAAUCAAACAAUUUUAAGUAUAUAUAUAUAUAUAUAUAUAUAUAUAUAUAUAUGAAGUAUAUCAAAUGAAAACAGUUUGAGAGAAUAAAAUGGUUAAAUACCAACUAUACAACUAUAGUUAUUUAAGUAGAUCACUGAAAAAAUUCACAUGAUUUUUUUAAUUUUAAUCUAAACCAUCCAAAUAUAGUUAUGUUGUCAAAAUUUAACUAUCUCACUCUUCCUUUAUAAAACUUCUCUCAUUUGAUAUACUAUAUAUAUAUANNNNNNNNNNNNNNNNNNNNNNNNNNNNNNNNNNNNNNNNNNNNNNNNNNNNNNNNNNNNNNNNNNNNNNNNNNNNNNNNNNNNNNNNNNNNNNNNNNNNNNNNNNNNNNNNNNNNNNNNNNNNNNNNNNNNNNNNNNNNNNNNNNNNNNNNNNNNNNNNNNNNNN